rnacentral:rRNA from 1 species
AUGGAGAGGAGGAUGAAGAUAUGGACGUACGAGGAGGGGGAGCCGCCGCUGGCGCACCUCGGCCCGGGCACCGACAUCUACUCCAUCGAGGGCCAGUUCCUGUACGAGAUAGAGGACCCCGGGAACCGCUUCGCCGCGCGCCGCCCCGGCGAGGCCAACGUCUUCCUGCUCCCCGUCAGCGUGUGCAACCUCGUCCACUACGUCUACCGCCUCAACACCACCGCCUACCUUGCGCCGCUGCGCCGCCUGGUCGCGGACUACGUCCGCGUCGUCGCCGAGAGGCACCCGUACUGGAACCGCUCCGGCGGCGCCGACCACGUCCUCGUGUCGUGCCACGACUGGGCGCCGCUGGUCUCGGAGGGGAACCGGCAGCUCUACGGCAACGCCAUCCGGGUUCUGUGCAACGCCAACACCUCAGAGGGCUUCAGGCCCAGGAAGGACGCGACGCUGCCGGAGGUGAACCUCGCCGACGGCGUCCUCCGCAGGCCGACGUUCGGCCUGCCGCCUGAGAACCGGACCACACUCGCCUUCUUCGCCGGCGGGAUGCAUGGCGAGAUACGCAGGAGCCUCCUGCAGCACUGGGUCGGCAGAGACCCGGACAUGCACGUCCACGAGUACCUCCACGCCGGGCAGGACUACCACGCGCUCAUGGCCAGGGCGCGGUUCUGCCUCUGCCCCAGCGGCUUCGAGGUGGCGAGCCCCAGGGUGGUGGAGUCCGUCUUCGCCGGCUGCGUGCCGGUGAUCAUCUCGGAGGGGUACCCGCUGCCCUUCAGCGACGUGCUGGACUGGAGCAAGAUGCCGGUGACGGUGCCGGCGGCUAGGAUACCGGAGCUGAAGGUCAUCCUGCGGGGCGUGUCAGAGAGGAGGUACCGCGUGCUGCGUGCCAGGGUACUGCAGGCUCAGCGGCACUUCGUGCUCCACCGGCCGGCGAGGCGGUUCGACAUGAUUCACAUGGUGCUGCACUCCAUCUGGCUCAGGAGGCUCAACGUCAGGCUACCGUACUGA